GAUGAAGAACGUAGCGAAAUGCGAUACGUAAUGUGAAUUGCAGAAUUCAGUGAAUCAUCGAGUCUUUGAACGCACAUUGCGCCCCCUGGUAUUCCGGGGGGCAUGCCUGUCCGAGCGUCAUUGCUGCCCUCAAGCCCGGCUUGUGUGUUGGGUCUCGUCCCCCUUCCCGGGGGGACGGGCCCGAAAGGCAGCGGCGGCACCGUGUCCGGUCCUCGAGCGUAUGGGGCUUUGUCACCCGCUCUGUAGGCCCGGCCGGCGCUUGCCGAUCAACCAAAACUUUUUUCCAGGUUGACCUCGGAUCAGGUAGGGAUACCCGCUGAACUUAAGCAUAUCAAUAAGCGGAGGA
rnacentral:misc_RNA from 1 species